GCCUGGGUGGCUCAGUCGGUUGAGUGUCUGACUUCGGCUCAGGUCAUGAUCUCGCGGUCUGUGAGUUCGAGCCCCGUGUCAGGCU
rnacentral:tRNA from 1 species